AGAGUUUGAUCCUGGCUCAGGACGAACGCUGGCGGUGUGCUUCACACAUGCAAGUCGAGCGAAUGAAAUAGGUAGCUUGCUACUUAUGGAUUUAGCGGCGGACGGGUGAGUAAUAUAUAGGAAUCUGCCUUAGAGCGGGGAACAACAGACCGAAAGGUUUGCUAAUGCCCCAUAGGUAUGCAGUCUUCGGAUUGUAUAUUAAAGGAGUAAUCCACUCUAAGAUGAGCCUGUAUCCGAUUAGCUAGUUGGCGGGGUAAAGGCCCACCAAGGCUACGAUCGGUAGUUGGUCUGAGAGGAUGAUCAGCCACAAUGGGACUGAGACACGGCCCAUACUCCUACGGGAGGCAGCAGUGGGGAAUUUUACACAAUGGGGGAAACCCUGAUGUAGCGACACCGCGUGAACGAAGAAGCCUUUUGGGGUGUAAAGUUCUGUCGGCUGGAACGAAAAAAAUGACGGUACCAGCAAAGGAAGCAUCGGCUAACUACGUGCCAGCAGCCGCGGUAAGACGUAGGAUGCAAGCGUUGUCCGGAUUUAUUGGGCGUAAAGAGUUCGUAGGCGGUUACUUAAGUCUGAUGUUAAAUACUGUGGCCCAACCACAGAACUGCAUUGGAUACUGGAUGACUUGAGUGCGGUAGAGGCAAGUGGAAUUCCCAGUGUAGCGGUGAAAUGCGUAGA
rnacentral:rRNA from 1 species